rnacentral:rRNA from 1 species
CCUACGGGUGGCAGCAGUGGGGAAUAUUGGACAAUGGGGGGAACCCUGAUCCAGCCAUGCCGCGUGUGUGAAGAAGGCCCUCGGGUUGUAAAGCACUUUCAGUGAGGAAGAACGCCUGGUGGUUAAUACCCAUCAGGAAAGACAUCACUCACAGAAGAAGCACCGGCUAACUCCGUGCCAGCAGCCGCGGUAAUACGGAGGGUGCGAGCGUUAAUCGGAAUUACUGGGCGUAAAGCGCGCGUAGGUGGCUUGAUAAGCCGGUUGUGAAAGCCCCGGGCUCAACCUGGGAACGGCAUCCGGAACUGUCAAGCUAGAGUGCAGGAGAGGAAGGUAGAAUUCCCGGUGUAGCGGUGAAAUGCGUAGAGAUCGGGAGGAACACCAGUGGCGAAGGCGGCCUUCUGGACUGAAACUGACACUGAGGUGCGAAAGCGUGGGUAGCAAACAGGAUUAGAUACCCGUGUAGUC